AACGAACGCUGGCGGCAUGCCUAACACAUGCAAGUCGAACGAGACCUUCGGGUCUAGUGGCGCACGGGUGCGUAACGCGUGGGAACCUGCCCUUAGGUUCGGAAUAACUCCCCUAAAGGGGUGCUAAUACCGGAUAAUGUCUUCGGACCAAAGAUUUAUCGCCUUUGGAUGGGCCCGCGUUGGAUUAGCUAGUUGGUAGGGUAAAAGCCUACCAAGGCGACGAUCCAUAGCUGGUCUGAGAGGAUGAUCAGCCACACUGGGACUGCGACACGGCCCAGACUCCUACGGGAGGCAGCAGUGGGGAAUAUUGGACAAUGGGCGAAAGCCUGAUCCAGCAAUGCCGCGUGAGUGAUGAAGGCCUUAGGGUUGUAAAGCUCUUUUACACGGGAUGAUAAUGACAGUACCGGGAGAAUAAGCUCCGGCUAACUCCGUG
rnacentral:rRNA from 1 species